rnacentral:rRNA from 1 species
CUAUACAUGACUCUGCGUAUAUCAAUAAGCGGAGGAAAAGAAACUAACAAGGAUUCUCCUAGUAACGGCGAGUGAAGCGGGAAGAGCUCAAAUUUGAAAUCUUAAAGGGUUUCCCUUUACGAAUUGUAGUUUAAAGAAGUGUUUUCUGUUGAGGUUUUGGUAAAAGUUCUUUGGAAUAGGACAUCAUAGAGGGUGAGAAUCCCGUAUUUGACCUUUACUUUCAACUUUGUGAUACACUUUCAAAGAGUCGGAUUGUUUGGGAAUGCAGUCCAAAAUGGGUGGUAAAUUUCAUCUAAAGCUAAAUAUUGGCGAGAGACCGAUAGCGAACAAGUACCGUGAGGGAAAGAUGAAAAGAACUUUGAAAAGAGAGUUAAACAGUACGUGAAAUGGUCAAAAGGGAAGCGUUUGACACCAGUGUUGUUUUUCUGAAAAUCAAUUAAAGAACUGUUUAUGCUAAGCUGUUUAGACUUUAUCAGCUAACUGUUUAGUUUUGAGCUUUUCUUUAAUGCACUUUUCAGUUAACAAGUCAACAUCAAUUUCUUUUGCUGUAAAAAAGCUUGAGGAAGGUGGCUUGAGAUUCGUCUUAAGUGUUUAUAGCCUCUUGCCUAUGCAGUCGGAGAGAUUGAGGUCUGCAGCGUAGAUCCUUCGGGGCUAAAUGCAUUUGUGCUAAGUUAUAGCAUUUUAUAGACAACUUGUUGACUAUGAUUUGUCUUGUAGCUUACUCGCUUAUGUUAUUUUACCUACGCUUAGGAUGUUGAGCGCAUGUCUCUCUCU